rnacentral:rRNA from 1 species
UACGGGGGGGGCAAGCGUUGUUCGGAAUUACUGGGCGGAAAGGGCUCGUAGGCGGCCAACUAAGUCGGAUGUGAAAUCCCCAGGCUUAACCUGGGAACUGCAUCCGAUACUGGAUGGCUUGAAUCCGGGAGAGGGAUGCAGAAUUCCAGGUGUAGCGGUGAAAUGCGUAGAUAUCUGGAGGAAUACCGGUGGCGAAGGCGGCAUCCUGGACCGGCAUUGACGCUGAUGAGCGAAAGCUAGGGGAGCAAACGGG